rnacentral:rRNA from 1 species
GAUGAACGCUGGCGGCGUGCCUAAUACAUGCAAGUCGAGCGAACAGACGAGGAGCUUACUCCUCUGACGUUAGCGGCGGACGGGUGAGUAACACGUGGAUAACCUACCUAUAAGACUGGGAUAACUUCGGGAAACCGGAGCUAAUACCGGAUAACAUGUUGAACCGCAUGGUUCAACAGUGAAAGACGGUCUUGCUGUCACUUAUAGAUGGAUCCGCGUCGCAUUAGCUAGUUGGUAAGGUAACGGCUUACCAAGGCAACGAUGCGUAGCCGACCUGAGAGGGUGAUCGGCCACACUGGAACUGAGACACGGUCCAGACUCCUACGGGAGGCAGCAGUAGGGAAUCUUCCGCAAUGGGCGAAAGUCUGACGGAGCAACGCCGCGUGAGUGAAGAAGGUCUUCGGAUCGUAAAACUCUGUUAUUAGGGAAGAACAAAUGUGUAAGUAACUAUGCACGUCUUGACGGUACCUAAUCAGAAAGCCACGGCUAACUACGUG